AUUGAACGCUGGCGGAAUGCUUUACACAUGCAAGUCGAACGGCAGCACGGGGGCAGCCCUGGUGGCGAGUGGCGAACGGGUGAGUAAUACAUCGGAACGUGCCCGGUCGGGGGGGAUAACGUAGCGAAAGUUACGCUAAUACCGCAUACGAUCUGAGGAUGAAAGCGGGGGACCUUCGGGCCUCGCGCGAUGGGAGCGGCCGAUGUCAGAUUAGGUAGUUGGUGGGGUAAAGGCCUACCAAGCCGACGAUCUGUAGCUGGUCUGAGAGGACGACCAGCCACACUGGGACUGAGACACGGCCCAGACUCCUACGGGAGGCAGCAGUGGGGAAUUUUGGACAAUGGGCGCAAGCCUGAUCCAGCCAUUCCGCGUGCAGGACGAAGGCCUUCGGGUCGUAAACUGCUUUUGUACGGAACGAAAAGGCUCUGGCUAAUACCUGGGGCUCAUGACGGUACCGUAAGAAUAAGCACCGGCUAACUACGUG
rnacentral:rRNA from 1 species